AUUGAACGCUGGCGGCAGGCCUAACACAUGCAAGUCGAGCGGAUGAAGGGAGCUUGCUCCUGGAUUCAGCGGCGGACGGGUGAGUAAUGCCUAGGAAUCUGCCUGGUAGUGGGGGAUAACGUCCGGAAACGGGCGCUAAUACCGCAUCCGUUCUGAUGGAGAAAGUGGGGGAUCUUCGGACCUCACGCUAUCUGCUGACCCUAGGUCGGAUUAGCUAGUUGGUGGGGUAAAGGCCUACCAAGGCGACGAUCCGUAACUGGUCUGAGAGGAUGAUCAGUCACACUGGAACUGAGACACGGUCCAGACUCCUACGGGAGGCAGCAGUGGGGAAUAUUGGACAAUGGGCGAAAGCCUGAUCCAGCCAUGCCGCGUGUGUGAAGAAGGUCUUCGGAUUGUAAAGCACUUUAAGUUGGGAGGAAGGGCAGUAAGUUAAUGCCUUGCUGUUUUGACGUUACCAACAGAAUAAGCACCGGCUAACUUCGUG
rnacentral:rRNA from 1 species